rnacentral:rRNA from 1 species
ACGGGGGGUGCGAGCGUUGUCCGGAAUCACUGGGCGUAAAGGGCGCGUAGGUGGCCUGAUAAGGGUGUGGUGAAAGUCCGGGGCUCAACCCCGGAUCUGCCGUGCCGACUGUUAGGCUAGAGUACUGUAGGGGCAGGCGGAAUUCCGGGUGUAGCGGUGGAAUGCGUAGAGAUCCGGAGGAAGACCGGCGGCGAAGGCGGCCUGCUGGGCUGACACUGACGCUGAUGCGCGAAAGCUAGGGGAGCGAACAGGA